AAAAUCUUACCUUAUGUGGACGACCCUGAAGUUAUUCAGUAAGACUUUUCGAGUCUCUUGGGCAUUUUCACUGAGGUCCUCAUCUUGAAGGAUAUCUGCAACAAACAGCUCGCAGUCUGAAGAGAAGAGAAAACAUUGAAGCCUACGGGGUCAGGGCGAGUUGAAUCCCAUGUCAGAACUGUCCCCAUGUUGACCUGCGCCUGACUGGCCUCCCAGCAAAAAAGCCCCUGUGAAGAUGUGAGAUCGUGACAGUGCAAAGUCUGGCAGCAUGUGCAGCUUCCUCCU